GGCGGCGAGUGGCGGACGGGUGAGUAACGCGCAGGAAUCUGCCUGGUAGCGGGGGACAACUCGGGGAAACUCGAGCUAAUACCGCAUACGCCCUACGGGGGAAAGCGGGGGACCUUCGGGCCUCGCACUAUCAGAUGAGCCUGCGUCCGAUUAGCUUGUUGGUGAGGUAAUGGCUCACCAAGGCUACGAUCGGUAGCUGGUCUGAGAGGAUGAUCAGCCACACUGGGACUGAGACACGGCCCAUACUCCUACGGGAGGCAGCAGCGGGGAAUAUUGCGCAAUGGACGGAAGUCAGACGCAGCGACGCCGCGUGGGUGAGGAAGGCCUUCGGGUUGUAAAGCCCUUUUCAGGGGAGCGAGAAAGGACGGUACCCUUGGAAUAAGCGUCGGCUAACUACGUGCCAGCAGCCGCGGUAAGACGUAGGACGCAAGCGUUAUCCGGAUUUACUAGGCGUAAAGCGCCUGUAGGCGGUCAAGUAAGUCGGAUGUGAAAGCCCCGUGCUCAACGCGGGGAAGCCAUUCGAUACUGCGUGACUAGAGAACGGCAGAGGGAAACGGAAUUUCUGGUGUAGCGGUAAAAUGCGCAGAGAUCAGAAAGAACACCGAUGGCGAAGGCAGUUUCCUAGGCCGCAUCUGACGCUGAGAGGCGAAAGCUAGGGGAGCAAACAGGAUUAGAGACCCUGGUAGUCCUAGCUGUAAACGAUGGAUGCUAGGUGUGGGCCGGAAAGGUCCGUGCCGUAGUUAACGCGAUAAGCAUCCCGCCUGGGGAGUACGGCCGCAAGGCUAAAACUCAAACGAAUUGACGGGGACCCGCACAAGCAGCGGAGCGUGUGGUUUAAUUCGAUGCUACACGCAGAACCUUACCUGGGCUUGACAUGUAGGUGGUAGUGAAGUGAAAGCGGAGCGACCCUUCGGGGAGCCUACACAGGUGCUGCAUGGCUGUCGUCAGCUCGUGCCGUGAGGUGUCGGGUUAAGUCCCGUAACGAGCGCAACCCUUGUCCUUAGUUACAAGUGUCUAAGGAGACUGCCGGUGACAAACCGGAGGAAGGUGGGGAUGACGUCAAGUCAGCAUGGCCCUUAUGUCCAGGGCGACACACACGCUACAAUGGUCGGUACAAUGGGCAGCGCAGCCGCGAGGUGAAGCGAAUCCCAACAAAGCCGAUCCCAGUUCGGAUUGCAGGCUGCAACCCGCCUGCAUGAAGCCGGAGUUGCUAGUAACCGCGCGUCAGCCAUAGUGCGGUGAAUACGUUCCCGGUCUUGUACACACCGCCCGUCACGUCAUGG
rnacentral:rRNA from 1 species